AACAAAAGAAAGAAGAGCAAAACAAGAGGGGUAUACGGCCAAGACCCUCCAAAUUUCACCCCUUGAAAUCUUUCUCCAAAAAUUAUUUUCUUGUGGUAUUUCCACUAAUUCAAGAGUCCUUUACAACUUGGUGUAAUUAUUUUGGAAGAAAGAGCACUUGUUUCUUCAAGUUGACAACUUGGUCAAGUGAAGAAGAUUGUAGGAAAAGAUUUUGGCGAACUUGAAACUUGAUUUUGGAGACGGGUAUGAAGCGGAAAAGGUACACCCAGAUGAUGCUAAGUUAUUAUAGAGGAUGUUCCAGCUGAGUUGGCAAGCUCCAUUUGUUCCUGGGGUGCCACCGAGUCAGAGUUUGUAUGUGUGCUUUCUGGUUUGAUGUUAGAGACUUUGCAGACAGAGUCGUGGGUAUAGUAUGUCAGUUGUGCAUGCGGCUUCAUCAGCCUAUAUGUCAUUCUGCAUGAUGUGUUAAAUUCUGUAUGAUCAUAGAUUCGGUUUGAUUUGGAAAGCAUUGAACAAACAUAUUUUGAGAGUUUAUUGUAUAUUUUAUUUUUAUCUGAUUUAAAAA